rnacentral:rRNA from 1 species
CAGCAGCCGCGGUAAUACAGAGGGUGCGAGCGUUAAUCGGAUUUACUGGGCGUAAAGCGUGCGUAGGCGGCUUUUUAAGUCGGAUGUGAAAUCCCUGAGCUUAACUUAGGAAUUGCAUUCGAUACUGGGAAGCUAGAGUAUGGGAGAGGAUGGUAGAAUUCCAGGUGUAGCGGUGAAAUGCGUAGAGAUCUGGAGGGAUACCGAUGGCGAAGGCAGCCAUCUGGCCUAAUACUGACGCUGAGGUACGAAAGCAUGGGGAGCAAACAGGAUUAGAUACCCCAGUAGUCCCUGUCUCUUAUAC